UACGUAGGGUGCAAGCGUUGUCCGGAAUUAUUGGGCGUAAAGAGCUCGUAGGCGGUCUGUCGCGUCUGCUGUGAAAACUCGGGGCUUAACCCCGAGCCUGCAGUGGAUACGGGCAGACUAGAGGUAGGUAGGGGAGAAUGGAAUUCCCGGUGUAGCGGUGAAAUGCGCAGAUAUCGGGAGGAACACCGGUGGCGAAGGCGGUUCUCUGGGCCUUACCUGACGCUGAGGCACGAAGGUCAGGGGAGCAAACGGG
rnacentral:rRNA from 1 species